rnacentral:lncRNA from 1 species
AAGGAUUUCCUGCACUUACUUGUGGAGAAGGAGUUCAUAGCUGGGCUCCUGGAGGGGAGAUAGAGCUUCUCUUUCGUUCCCGGUGGGCUCGAGGGCAGAAUGAGCCUCAGACAUCUCCAGUCCUAUAUUUAUUGGGGGUUGAGACUCUAAUAUUGAGACUCAUGGGAAAAUCCCACAUUUGAUAAAUCUUUGUUGGAGGGUGAGGGUGGGGCCAGAGCGGGUGGGGCUGAUUGGAAACCUUAUUAAGAUUGUGCAAUGUGACGUCCUUUAGCAUGGCAAGACACAACUAGGGGGAAAAGUGCAGCUUAGGUCGUCAUUGAGGCUAGCGCUAAGAAGCAGAACCACUCUUCCUUUACUUUCUUUUUUUCUUUUAUUAGUGACUCAGCACUUUGGCAUGUCUUGACAAAGAGUAAAGCUGAAGUCAUGCACGAAGUUUUACAAAGAGAAAAAAAAUAAGCUAAAGCUAUGUUUUUUGAAAAAAAAAAAAUUUUUUUUCAGUGACCAGAUUAACAGGCUAGAAUUUAGCGUUCCAGUUAAUUUGUAUUUGUAAAAACCAAAGAUGUUCUGAACUGAGUUUCCUCUGACUCCAUCGCAGCCCCCCAAGCCUGGGAUUAUGAAGAAGGUAAUACUACCAGUCAUCUGAGUUCUUCUGUGUUCUGGCUCUCCCUGUGAGCGGCUGUUGUAGAACUGCCUGGCCAUCCUCAAAUUUCGUGCAGUUACUUCAAGGCGUCUCCAGGUGGAGUGUGUGACUCCUUUUUGCCACCGCGUGGCUUCUGCCACUUUCUUCACCUGCUUCAGCCCACUUAGAGGAGGUUGGCUGCUGCCCUGCCCUCUCCCAAGUGACCCCUUGGGAAUCCUCCCAGUGAGGACUUUGCUCUCUGUGCCAGAGGUUUGCCUUGUGCUGCCAGUGCUCUCCCCAUUGCCACUGAGUCUCUUCACCACUGUUUCACUGGGGCACCUGCAUGGGCCCCAGGUCUCCUGGAGCCCUGAAAUUACUGAAGCCCACUUGGUUCAGGGCAGAAAGGGGGAGAAUACUACUCACCUCUUUGUUGGGGAUGUCAAAGGAGGACCUUGUGGCAUCUUGCAGAGUUUGUGUUUAUCGCUCCCUCUCCCUGUAAGUCUUGAUUUGAAAUCAAAAGAAGCUAGAAGGAAACUACGGACGCAGGCACGGCUCUAGGCUCUGAAUCUGCUUCCGCGUCGGCACCCAAGAAUUUCUUAUUGGGUCAAGCUGGUUCAGAAGCCCUCUUCCCUCAGGAUGGUGUCUCUUGCAGGAGGAUCCUUGGUCUCAUGCAAAUGGGCUCUAGACUAGGUUGUCCCUCCAGUCUCCAGAGACCCAGACAGCUCUGAGAUGGCUUCAGGCUGAAACCAGACCCUUGCACAACACCAAAACACUUAUUUACCAAACAUGGUGUUACCUUCACAAUCGGUUUCUUUGCUUUGCUAAGAAGAGAUCUCUUCAAGAUCGAUAAAACAGUGACCUCUGUUGGGCAUUUACUCAAGUUUUGUUUCGUGCAUAACAUUUCAGGACCCGCCUGUUGGGGAAAGUGAGGUCAUCCAUUCUUCACCGAUUGUCUAAACAGAGACGGUGGUCCUCUGCCGCGGUGGGAUUCUUUGGUGUGAAAAUGAAAAUGGGGGAGGAUGGCUGGAUGGUUUCAUUUUUAGUGCUCUCCUGUCUUAAGCAACGUAGACACUCCUGAACCAAGUUCUCUUUCCUGCAUGAAACGAAGCCACUGCUCCCAGCUCCGCAGCCGUGCACUGUGAUCCGUCUAUGUAAUGUGAGCUUGCUUUUACUCAACUAUCUAUUUUUUAGAAAAUACAAUUCAAUAAAUUUCAAGUACUUGAACUGAGUGACACAAUACAACACACAGAUUUAUCUUUUCAAUAAAAAGUGUUUUUUAAAUAGGAAGUUCGUGUUCAUGAUAAAAUGUUCAAAUAGGACAUCAGGGCAUGCAGGGAAAAGUGUCUCCUUCCUCUCCUGGCCCCUUUUCCCAGAGGUAGCACCUAAUUGCCUGUAUUUUCAACCAAAUCCUCUGUUAUCCUAGCCUGGGAAAGGUUUUCUCGUCUUCCCAGCUGUUUGAUCCUGGCUGUUACAUCAAGGACCUGUGCCCUUGUUUAUUCACCUAUAAAACGGGGGUAAUAAUAGUUCUUCCUUUCUAGGGCUGUUGUGAAGAUGGAACGUGAUGCAGUGUAAAAAAUUCCUGGCGCAUAGUAAUCCCACAAUACAUGCUAGCUCUUUGAACAUUCCUUGGCUCAGAGUCUCUGCCUUGGAGAGCUCUUCCAGCUCGGCUAUAUCGGUUCACCUGGUGUCUUGCCUAUGAAGGAAUUAUGAAUGAACCAGGCCUCUGUGCCAGCAAUGAGCUGGUCUCCCAAUCAUUUUCCCUCAAAAGAAAUGAGAUUCUAUGUUUUGUUGAAAAUGUUUUAUGGCACAAAGUGCAAAAUGAAAAAUAAUAAUAAUUUUCUUUUUUGAGAACAUUAAGAUCCCCAAACCAGGUCUCUUGUUUUAGAUAAUUAGUCCAGCUUGCGUCUUGCUCCUACUAGACUUUUUCCAAGCCCUCCACUAAGUGUUUUUAUGUCAGAAUUCCACAGCCUUCCCUGUGCAUGGUGAUUGCCAUUAAUUCAAACUCCUGAUAGUGGCCCUCGAGGGUGAAGGGGCCUGAUGCUUCUGGGGUCAAGAAAGGGCAAACUGUGGGAAGGCAUGUGUGUAGGGAGCUUGGAGACACUGUCUGCCCCCUGCACAUCGCAGCAUGGCACUUUAUUAGUAUCAAUGCUUUGGGCUGGAAUUUGCUUGUGGGAGAGAUGAGCUCUACCUUGCUCCAAAAACGUUAAUGUAACUGACAUGUGCAAUUCCACAAUGAUAGCUUCCUUCCUUUGCAUCUCAAUGGAUUUUUCGCGUGGAGAGCUCAUUCUUUGUUUUUUCUUGUUUUGUUUUGUUUUUUCUCUUGAGAAGGAGUCUUGCUCUGUUGCCCAGGCUGGAGGGCAAUGGCAUGAUCUUGGCUCACUUCAACCGCCGCCUCCCAGGUUCAAGCAAUUCUCUUGCCUCAGCCUCCUGAGUAGCUGGGACUACAGAUGCAUGCGACCACGCCCAGCUACUUUUUGUAUUUUUAGUAGAAACGGGGUUUUGCCAUGUUGGCCAGGCGGGUCUUGAACUCCUGACCUCAGGUGAUCCACGCGCCUCGGCCUCCCAAAGUGCUGGGUUUACAGGCGUGAACCACUGUGCCCAGCCCCUUGUAUUUUUUAAAGGGCAGCUUUAGGUCAUAGCAAAAUGGAGAGGAAGGUACAGAGAUUUCCCAUAUAUCCCCCUCUCCCCCCAACUCUCCCCCGUAUUUUAGUAUGAAUACGUGACCAGAAAAGGCUGUGCUGUCAGCAUUUAUUAACUAAUACUUUAGUUGCUGGAUUGCAUCAUAGCUGAUGUGAAGUGAGCGCCAGCUGAGAUCAAGAGAGGCCAGACAAAUGGGAGUGCACAGGGAGGAAGCAGCAACUUGGCUUCCUAUGCCACCAGUGUGGGGCUGGCAUGUCCUAUCUGGAUCUCCCAGAAUUACUGCCCAUGACUGCUUUCUUACGUGAUGGUGGAGUCCAGUUCAGAAUCUAGUAAUACAUUUGAGACCAAGGGGGAAAAGUAGCUUCCAUUUGGUACUUAAGCUCUCAGGAGGAGAAGUGUUCUCCACGUCUCAGGAGUUAAGAUGUAGUGUUGUGCUCUUUCUCUAUAUUCUGGGGGUUGGAGAUGGAUGAGUCUGUGAUUUAACAGGAGGGAGUACAGCAAGAAAAAACGGGAAGUCCUGGGUACUAGGGAACUUGCAGUUGCUGCCAGAAUGUAGUUUCACUUGUUGCCAAGUCGUAAGAAGUUUGUAAACUGAAACAGUGGGUGAUUUAACAGCUUCUUCUGGGGUUGAGUCCCACUGAGCAGACACCAGGCUCUAAGGCUCUGGGAAAUGUCCUGCUUUGAUGGUGGUAUUACUUGAAGAGAGAAUUUUAGGGACAUGUGGUGUGUCAAUUUAGAAAGAGCCAGCUGAUGUUGGAGGGCAGCCAGGCCUGGUGACCAAAGCUCUUGACAGUUUCCUGCCUGGUCUGGUCUCAGUCCUGGCUUUGCAGCCUCAGCUCUGAUGUCCUGUUGUAGCUCCUUGGUCUGGUGAAUUCUUAGUCUGGCCUCAGCUUUUCUGAGGGGGAGGAUGUUCAGGGGCUGGACCUAGCUCCUCCUAGACUAGAGAAGGGGCACAUCUGCCCUGCUGUGUUUCUCAUUCAAAACUCUAUAGGGAGGUCAUCUGUUCUGUGCCCUCAUUAUUUUGCUAUGUGACUUACCUUCCCCCUGCUGAAGUGGAAAAUCCCAGGCAUCUUGGGAGGGAAGUAGCCUCUCCGGGGGCAAAAAGUGUAGAUUCUCUUUGCCUUGGGACACCCCCGUACCCCUUUCCCUGGGUCUCUAGGCUUGGAAGAGAGUGCCCUGAUUGCAAACUUCUCUGAAGCUAGUUUGCUGAUGAGAAAAAUGGCUUUGCUGGUCCUGAAGAAGCCCCAUUUGGCCCUGCCCCCAUGGCUGGGGAGGUCCCUCGGACUGAGUUUCAGUGCUUUGCCUCUUCUCCAUCUGUGGGGUAGGCUUUCUAUGGUGGUGGCCACUGGUUCUGCUUUAUAAUUAGGAAACUUCAAUUUGUCAGCGAGCAGUAAUACGUUCAUUUAUUAUCACGAGUCAUUUGAGCCAUCUUUGGUUUCUCCAAAGAUCUCAGUUCUCUGAGUUCAGUGUCAUCAGCAGAAACUAAGCAUGCAAAGCAUUGGCUGGUUUCCUCUACUCUUUUCCCUCAAAAUUAAGGUACUAAGAACCCAUUUGAAAUCAUCACAUGUAAUGGCCAGACCAGGGGAUUCUACUGGCCUGGUUAUGACGUCUUUUACCUCCCUUCCUUGCCCUUUUGGUUAGUUAUUUGCUAAAAGGAGAGUGUCUUAGUCCCUCUGAACUAAGCCUCCUUAGCAAGCUGAAUCCAUGAAGAGAGGCCAUUCUAGUCUUCAUGGUGGAAUAAUUUCCACGAAAUGCUUUGGACAUGUUGAGGACUCUGACUCUGUAAUUCUGAGACAUUGGGGUCCAUUAUUUCUGAAGAUGGGUACACCUGGAUUGAUUUAAAAUGUUAUGGAAGAAUUCAGAUCCAGGUAAGCAAGUUGAAGAAUCAUAGGCAAUUUCUUCAAGCUAUUGAAUUCUAUGUCAUGUGUACCUAUGUAUGUGUGUGGAUGUCUGCGGCACAGAGCAGAGCCCUUGGUCUAUAGACCUACCAUAGAUAUUGUUCCAAGGGGUGCUGCCUGCCUCAUAUGAGUGUGGCCUUACAGGCCUGGGUACCCAGAAAGCCUGGACCGGCCAUCUGCUGUCACUUUUCUCCCAGGCCUGCAGCCCUUCCUGUGCUGCUGGAUCUGUACAGUGGUCUAUGUCUGAGCCACAUUACUGUGUCCCCCAAGGGCACUGUGGGAUUCCCUAUAUCUCUCACCCUGGAAGCCAUAUUUUCUAUGUGCUACUUUUCUGUGGGUGAGACGGGGGUCGGGGAGAGGUGGGGACAGGAGGGAAGGCACCCAUCAGCUUGGCAAGUGAUCUGGAUGUGUGGAAAUGGCUUCCUAUUGCUAAAGGCUUGUUUGGAGGCUUGCUGCCUAAGCAGUUGCCACCAAGUGCCUCAGAUCCUCCUAUCUCUCUAGGACAACCAAUAGAGAGGCUGUCAUGCACAUUCUUUCUCUGUGUUAAGUUUGUCCACCAUGGGCCCAGUGAAACUACUGAAGACACCAGGUAUGUAGUCAGGGGCAGGUCAGGUGUCAGAGGGAAAUUUGAGUCCUGGGCUGUUUCUGUCUGACAUUGUGUGGGUAAUCGGUUGGCCAGGCUUGUAAAAGCCCUGUUGCCCUUCUUGGCUUGAUUUAGACUGCAGGAUUCAGAAGGAAGUGGGGGUUUUAUACUGCCAGCAAAAAAUUUUGGCUGAAUGUAGGGUUUCCCUGAAUUAGGCUUGUCUUUUUACUGCAUUGCCAAAUCCUCGGCUUCUUGUGUCUUGGGAGUGUAGCUGUUGGCAGAUGAAAGUGUUCAGAUGACGAUGAACUGAGGAUUUGGGGCAAAGUACUCUCCCACCUUAGGGGUUUGCUGAAUUCCCUCCUAGCUCCAGGAUUCUGUGGUUCUGUGAUUCUGUGGAUUUUCAUUAGCCAUGCUUAUUAAUCAAGAGUCUACUGUUAAUGGGACUACAGGAAUAGGAGUCUCUACAUUAAGAAAUACUUUUUGAAAGCCCAAAAGCCUGAUGCUGUCUUCUAGUUCCCACCCAAGGACCUGUUAGUGGAAGUGCUUUGACUGGGCAGGGUGCCACCCAUUUUGACAUGCCCAGAUCUUAGUGGCUUCAGGGAGACUAAACUGAUUCAGGAGAUUCUAGAGCCCUGGUAAGGGCUGCUACCUGAAAGGAGGUAGCAGAUUUCUUAAUUAUUAUACAAGCACAAUUAUUAU